ACCUAUCAUCGGAGGAGAAUUACAAUUCUGACAAACGCGUUUCAGCGAUGGCCCCUCACCUACCAACAAAACCUAAGAACCAAGCACAAUCCCUUUUUAUGUCUGGGUGAUAGACAUAAAAGGAAACCCAAAACUAUACAUUUUUAUUUUUUUCUAUGCAAAUAUACAAAUCUAUAUAUAUAAACCCAUGUUUAAUUGUUUUCAAUUAUUUUCUCUCAAACUUUCCAUUUCUUCUUCGAAGGGCUGUUUGGAUCUCUCGUUUGUCAGGGUUGUGAUUCUCCCUCGGUGGCGUGGAAACGAUACCAGCCGGUGAUUCGAUCUUUGUUUGUCUGAAAAACCCUAAAUCGAUUGGGGUUUUGCUUACGAUCAGUCGGUGGAUUCUCGAAUCGGGUUUCUUUGGAGGCCAAAGCUUGUGGAUUUGAGCCAUUUCAUGCUGUAAAUUGCAGGUUUUUUGAAAAAAUCGGAUUUAUCUUUUCAGCUAGAGAAUACCAAAUGCAAGAUCCGCAAAAUUCAUGAAGUGCUAUAGUAUACAUUUUAUACCGUUGUAUGAUAUUCAUCCCGUGAUAAAAUGCAUUCAACUUCUAGUGAUGCUUGUCAUGUACAUUCUUCAGCAAUUGAAUUAGAUUUUCUAAACCUGUGAGAUUUUUCAAAAAUAAUUUUGGCAUCAUCUCUGCAUGCUCACAAUGUAGUUCCAACACUGAUUUCUCAUGUAAACCAAUAGAAUUAGCUUGGAGUUGAUAUCAAUAAUUUGUGUGAUGUGACAACCUCAUGGCUAUUGGAUCAGUUUCCUUAAUGGCUUCCCAUGAACCCUGAGAACAUAUCUGUACAGGCUGGCCUCACCGUACACACAAAUCAAGCAAAAUGGAACCCUCAUAAGCAGGAAUCUGACAAGCAUGACGACCCUCCUGUGCCAAUUUUUGAUCUAGAAAAUAUUGAGGAAGGGAUUGAAAGGAAUGGUUUUAUUGUUGUGGUUUUUGGUUGCACUCAGUCUGAUAUAUUGGUUGCAUGUUGCAGUUGAACAGUGUAGUACUGUUUGUUCAGGCAAGAUGUAUUUCUGGUUCUGUUACAGAAGAUAUUGUUAUGGGAUUCAAUAUUUAUUUUAUGCAAGGUCAGUAGAAGAAUUUUAAUAUGUGAAGGCAAUUCAUGGAAGCAGAUUAUUGAGGCUAGCGGAUUCAUGUAAAGGAGAGAACAUCUUGAAGUAAUCUGAAAGUGUCUGGAGUUCUAACUUCGUUGGAAUGAGAUCAAGAGAAGUUUUGAGCUUCGACUAGCUGAAUGGUGCAGGGAUCCAGUUGACAAGAAGAAUUGGUGAUGUAUUAUAGCAAUGCAGUUCUGGUUGAAAAUUCUGAAGGGGGCAGAUGCUAAUGCUCUUAGCAGGGUAGUAUUUGGUAUAAUGGAUACAGUAUGGCCGUGUAUUCCUCCCUCAAAAGUAGGGGUGAGAAUUUUAGACAUGAUAUGAUAACAAAACUAGAAUUGUACAGGAAAUUAGUAGAUUCGGGUUAGUCAAAUUUCUGAUACGAACACGAAUAUGACACAACUAGAUAGCAUGAAUAGUAGUGUUGAACUUAUAUAACAAAUGCAGCUUCGUAGUUCGAAAAAAAUGGGGCUCGAAUGGCCCGACCUCCCCCUCUCUCUCUCUCUUUCUCUCUCUCUCUUUCUUCUCUAUCUCUCCUCCUCUACCUUGGUCUUCUUCUUCUUUCUUCUGAAUUGCGACGGUGAUGGCAGCGCCAAAGGGGUUUGCGGCGGUGGGCUCUCUCUCUCUCUCUCUUUUAUAUAUAUAUAUGUGUGUGUGUGUGUGUGUAGAUCUGUGUAUAUACAGAUCUAACCAGCAUAGAUCUAUGUGUCUAUACACAGAGAUAUGUUCUUCUUCCUCCUCUCCUUGUCUCCUUCUCUCUUCUUCUUUGUCUCCUUCUUCCUUAGUUCUCUCUUCUUCUUUAUGUUUCUUUCUUCCACCUCUAUUAUUUUUUCUUGUUUGAUUUUUUUUUAUUUUUUCUCCUCUCUCUCUAUUUCUUUUUUUGAUUCCGAGUUAUGGAAGAAGCACAGAAAAAAAAAUAGAGGAAUAACAUAUCUGAACACAAAGGAAGAAGAAAAGGAAAAAAACAGAGGAAGAACAUAUCUGAACACAGAGGAAGAAGAAAAGAAAAGAAUAGGAAAAAAAACAAAAAAAAGUGUCAAAACAAUGUCGUUUUGGCACCUAAAGCUAUUCAAGCCUUAAGGAAUUCAAGCUACUUAGCAAGAUUGCUUAUAUAACACAAAGUUGACACUAAUAACUCAUUGUGUAGAAUCUAUUUUUAUGGGAUUAUGGUAGGGAUUACCAGUGGCGGACCCAUGGGGGUCACAUGCCCCUCCCGGAUUUUGUGAUAUUUUUUUUUUUUACAAAUAUAAUGAAAAUAUUUUAAAUAAAAAGAAUUACAAAAAUAUUAUUAGAGUGAAAUGUCAAUGACAUUUUAAAAAUUA